UUUGACGUUAGCGACAGAAGAAGCACCGGCUAACUCCGUGCCAGCAGCCGCGGUAAUACGGAGGGUGCGAGCGUUAAUCGGAAUUACUGGGCGUAAAGCGCAUGCAGGUGGUUUGUUAAGUCAGAUGUGAAAGCCCGGGGCUCAACCUCGGAAUUGCAUUUGAAACUGGCAGACUAGAGUACUGUAGAGGGGGGUAGAAUUUCAGGUGUAGCGGUGAAAUGCGUAGAGAUCUGAAGGAAUACCGGUGGCGAAGGCGGCCCCCUGGACAGAUACUGACACUCAGAUGCGAAAGCGUGGGGAGCAAACAGGAUUAGAUACCCUGGUAGUCCACGCCGUAAACGAUGUCUACUUGGAGGUUGUGGCCUUGAGCCGUGGCUUUCGGAGCUAACGCGUUAAGUAGACCGCCUGGGGAGUACGGUCGCAAGAUUAAAACUCAAAUGAAUUGACGGGGGCCCGCACAAGCGGUGGAGCAUGUGGUUUAAUUCGAUGCAACGCGAAGAACCUUACCUACUCUUGACAUCCAGAGAACUUUCCAGAGAUGGAUUGGUGCCUUCGGGAACUCUGAGACAGGUGCUGCAUGGCUGUCGUCAGCUCGUGUUGUGAAAUGUUGGGUUAAGUCCCGCAACGAGCGCAACCCUUAUCCUUGUUUGCCAGCGAGUAAUGUCGGGAACUCCAGGGAGACUGCCGGUGAUAAACCGGAGGAAGGUGGGGACGACGUCAAGUCAUCAUGGCCCUUACGAGUAGGGCUACACACGUGCUACAAUGGCGCAUACAGAGGGCAGCCAACUUGCGAAAGUGAGCGAAUCCCAAAAAGUGCGUCGUAGUCCGGAUUGGAGUCUGCAACUCGACUCCAUGAAGUCGGAAUCGCUAGUAAUCGUGGAUCAGAAUGCCACGGUGAAUACGUUCCCGGGCCUUGUACACACCGCCCGUCACACCAUGGGAGUGGGCUGCAAAAGAAGUAGGUAGUUUAACCUUCGGGGGGACGCUUACCACUUUGUGGUUCAUGACUGGGGUGAAGUCGUAACAAGGUAGCGCUAGGGGAACCUGGCGCUGGAUCACCUCCUUA
rnacentral:rRNA from 1 species